rnacentral:rRNA from 1 species
CUGCGGAAGGAUCAUUAUCGUACAACCGAGGUGUGAGGGCUGUCGCUGACCUUCCAAAAGGUUGUGCACGCUCAAGCACACUCUCACACAAUCCAUCUCACCCCCUUGUGCAUCACCGCGUGGGCCCUCCUUAUGCAAGGAGGGCUUGCGUCUUCACAUAAAACUUGAUACAGUGUAGAAUGUUAUUCUUUUCUUUUUUGCGGUCACACGCAAUCAAUACAACUUUCAACAACGGAUCUCUUGGCUCUCGCAUCGAUGAAGAACGCAGCGAAAUGCGAUACGUAAUGUGAAUUGCAGAAUUCAGUGAAUCAUCGAAUCUUUGAACGCACCUUGCACCCCUUGGCAUUCCGAGGGGUACACCCGUUUGAGUGUCGUGAAAUCAUCAAAAAACCUUUCUUCUUUUGAUCUUUUCUUGGUCAGAAAAAGGAUUUUUGGACUUGGAGGUUCCAUGCUUGCUUUCAAAAGCGAAAGUGAGCUCCUCUCAAAUAAAUUAGUGGGGUCCGCUUUGCUGAUCCUUGAUGUGAUAAGAUGUUUCUACAUUUUGGAUUUAGCACUGUCCCUUGGAUGCCUGCUCCUAACCGUCUUUUGGACAAUGAUGGUGCUCCGGUCCUUGCCAUCUACACGUUGGCGAAGGGGUGGACCCACAAAAGAAAAAAACCUUGACCUCAAAUCGGGUGAGACUACCCGCUGAA